rnacentral:rRNA from 1 species
AUUGAACGCUGGCGGCAUGCCUUACACAUGCAAGUCGAACGGUAACAGGUCUUCGGAUGCUGACGAGUGGUGAAGGGGGGAGUAAUACAUCGGAACGUGCCCGAUCGCGGGGGAUAACGAAGCGAAAGCUUUGCUAAUACCGCAUAAGAUCUACGGAUGAAAGCAGGGGACCGCAAGGCCUUGCGCGAAUGUAGCGGCCGAUGGCAGAUUAGGUAGUUGGUGAGAUAAAAGCUUACCAAGCCGACGAUCUGUAGCUGGUCUGAGAGGACGACCAGCCACACUGGGACUGAGACACGGCCCAGACUCCUACGGGAGGCAGCAGUGGGGAAUUUUGGACAAUGGGCGAAAGCCUGAUCCAGCCAUGCCGCGUGAAGGAUGAAGGCCUUCGGGUUGUAAACUGCUUUUGUACGGAACGAAAAGACGCUUAUGAAUCCCUGCAGUCCAUGACGGUACCGUAAGAAAAAGCAACGGCUAACUACGUG